GACGGAGGGUGCAAGCGUUGUUCGGAAUUACUGGGCGUAAAGGGCCAGUAGGCGGCCAACUAAGUCCGACGUGAAAUCCCCAGGCUUAACCUGGGAACUGCGUCGGAUACUGGAUGGCUUGAAUUCGGGAGAGGGAUGCAGAAUUCCAGGUGUAGCGGUGAAAUGCGUAGAUAUCUGGAGGAAUACCGGUGGCGAAGGCGGCAUCCUGGACCGACAUUGACGCUGAACGGCGAAAGCUAGGGGAGCAAACGGG
rnacentral:rRNA from 1 species